rnacentral:rRNA from 1 species
UGAAUACGAGACGCUACGGCGUCGAAGCAGUCUAUGUCAUACUUCCAAGAAAAGCUCGCAAUGUCAUAAACAAAUAAUGCCUGUACCAUAACCGACACAGGUGGGUAGGUAGAGUAUACUAAGGGGCGCGAGAUAACUCUCUCUAAGGAACUCGGCAAAAUGACUCCGUAACUUCGGGAGAAGGAGUGCCUUAUUUAUAAGGUUGCAAUAACAAGAUCCAAGCAACUGUUUAUCAAAAACACAGGUCUCCGCUAAGUCGUAAGACGAUGUAUGGGGGCUGACGCCUGCCCAGUGCCAGAAGGUUAAAGAAGUUGGUUAGCAUUCGCGAAGCUGAUAACUGAAGCCCUGGUGAACGGCGGCCGUAACUAUAACGGUCCUAAGGUAGCGAAAUUCCUUGUCGGGUAAGUUCCGACCCGCACGAAAGGCGUAAUGAUUUGGAUACUGUCUCGGAGAGGGGCUCGGUGAAAUAGACUUGUCUGUGAAGAUGCGGACUACCUGCACCUGGACAGAAAGACCCUAUGAAGCUUUACUGUAACUUGAAAUUGAAAUUGGACUUUAUUUGCGCAGCAUAGGUGGGAGGCGUUGAGAGUAUUCUUGCGGGAAUAUUGGAGCCAUCAGUGAGAUACCACUCUUGUAAUGUUAGAUUUCUAACUUUGGAUCAUUAUCUGGUCAAAGAACAGUUUCAGGCGGGCAGUUUGACUGGGGCGGUCGCCUCCCAAAUGGUAACGGAGGCGUACAAAGGUUUCCUCUGAACGGGUAGAAAUCGUAUCUAGAGUGUAAAGGCAUAAGGAAGCUUGACUGUGAGACCUACAAGUCGAGCAGGGACGAAAGUCGGUCUUAGUGAUCUGACGGUGCUGAGUGGAAAGGCCGUCACUCAACGGAUAAAAGUUACUCUAGGAUAACAGGCUGAUCUCCCCCAAGAGUUCACAUCGACGGGGAGGUUUGGCACCUCGAUGUCGGCUCAUCGCAUCCUGGGGCGGUAGUACGUCCCAAGGGUUGGGCUGUUCGCCCAUGAAAGCGGUACGCGAGCUGGGUUCAGAACGUCGUGAGACAGUUCGGUCCAUAUCCGGUGUAGGCGUUAGAAUAUUGAGAGGAGCCUUCUUUAGUACGAGAGGACCGAGAAGGACAUACCUCUGGUGUACCAGUUAUCGUGCCAACGGUAAACGCUGGGUAGCUAUGUAUGGAGAGGAUAACCGCUGAAAGCAUCUAAGUGGGAAGCCCACCUCAAGAUAAG